UUCGAGUGGCGGACGGGUGAGUAACGCGUGGGUAACCUGCCUUACACAGGGGAUAACACCUGGAAACAGGUGCUAAUACCGCAUAAGCGCACAGGGCCGCAUGGCCCGGUGUGAAAAACUCCGGUGGUGUAAGAUGGACCCGCGUCUGAUUAGCUUGUUGGCGGGGUAGGGGCCCACCAAGGCGACGAUCAGUAGCCGGCCUGAGAGGGUGGACGGCCACAUUGGGACUGAGACGCGGCCCAAACUCCUACGGGAGGCAGCAG
rnacentral:rRNA from 1 species